GGUGUGCUGACAAUCACAGUUACUUUAUCUAAUAAAAUAAUAAAGUGAACUUAAAAUCUCGAUGAUCUAUUUCUUUUGAAAUUAGUCCAUUUUAUAGCAAUUUUAUACACUUAAAAUCUCGAUGAUCUAUUUCUUUUGAAAUUAGUCCAUUUUAUAGCAAUUUUAUACACUUAAAAUCUCGAUGAUCUAUUUCUUUUGAAAUUAGUCCAUUUUAUAGCAAUUUUAUACACUUAAAAUCUCGAUGAUCUAUUUCUUUUGAAAUUAGUCCAUUUUAUAGCAAUUUUAUACACUUAAAAUCUCGAUGAUCUAUUUCUUUUGAAAUUAGUCCAUUUUAUAGUAAUUUUAUACACUGUAGGAGUUUCGGAAUAUAAUUAAUUCUGUUAAAAUGUGAUUAGAAAAUCUCACCGAAGUAAGAAUCUCCUACGUCUGCUGCAGAGCUAAAAUCAACGAACUGCGGAGACUCGACCAAGUCCCAUUUACUCGAAUCUCUAUAUUUCUUCCAAUGAUCGCCUUUCAAUGCUGAGUUACUAAUUCCCUCUUUCCAUAAUUUUCGACUUGGUAAUUUGAAAUGAUUCUUCGGAUGUGUCAACGGCGUAACUGAUUGUUCAUAUUUCGUUUUCGGUUUCGUCGACGUUAGCAUUAUUCUCGAGGAAAAUUAAAACAAGAAAGCGCAGUUUAUCCGAGUAAAUUUUUUAAAUAUCAAAUGCUUCGAUUGUCAAGAUUUUCUUUUAAAUCACUUGCCUGAGUUUAACACGUUGACUGCCAUGGGGGUCACCGGUGACCGGCAUCGCAAAUUACACGCACUUCAAUAAUUAAAAGAAAACGAUAGAAAAAUUAUUAUCUUCAAUAGUAUUGUUAUUAUUAUAGUAAAGUAUCAAAUUAAAAGCUUGACAUUUGAAAUUUGAAAAUUAAUUAUUCCUAUUCUUAAUAAUUAGAGCUUUAAUACGUCUCAUAACAAAUGCCCAUUUUCAUUGUGGCAGUCAACGUGUUAAUGAUCGAGAAACGCUUCUGCUUGAAUCCUAACACGAAUAACUAUCAACGGUAAUUUCUGUGUUUACAUUCGAAUAGGUCAAGCCAAGUUUCAAAUUAAACGAAACACAACGAUAAUUCAAAUAAUAAUUACGAGUAACGUUUGCACUGGUCAUAAAAAGAAACGGUAUUAUUAUUUAUUAAAAUGAAGAAUAAAACAACGUUGUAUAUUUAUACUUUCUGUUUAAAAAAGAGAAAAGAAUUAUCGUAUUAUGAAAAUAUUUCAAUUUCAAUGUAAUUUAACAUUGUUCUUGAUAAGUGAAUCCAAUCCGCGAUCAUUGAUAUUUAGUACACGUGAACAUUACUAUGGAUACAAAUGUCCACAACAAAGAAUCAACCAGCGGUACUGAAUCGUUCAACAAAUUUUUAAAACAGAUCUUUCGAUAUGAUCGAUCGUUGUUUCAUUCAGAGAUUAAAAUUCUGUCAAUGCGUAGCUGUUCACUUCUCAACAAAAAAUACCUCGAAAAAGUUGAAUAUAGUAACAAUAUGACGUUAUGUUUCACCGCAUUAAAACACGGUGCAUAGAACGUAUAUGAAGAGUGUUUAGACGAGUGCUUAUGUGUUUCAAUUAAAAGUAAUAUUUUUUAUCGAAUGUUUAAAGAAAAUUCAAUAAUGCAUGGGCUACGAGCCGAACACAACGUUAGUGGUCUCGGUACGAGCCGAUGGCUGGAGGCAUUUUGGGAACCAGGAGCCAAAUUAUACACAUUGCCAAAUGGGGUUGAUAUGCUGGACGUUACCGGCAAUGGGGAUGCAAGGCUCGUUUGCGUCGAUUUGGGGACGCUUGCAGCUAAUUCUGCUAAAAUACGAGUUUACAAAGGUGGGGACCAAGUAACGGAGCACAACAUGGUGAACGCACCUUGCGGAUUAGUCGGUUUCUACACAGAAAACGGAGAGCCUCGAUCAUCUGUUUUGGGUGUGGGUGUUGGUUCCAGUGUGUUCAUCUUCAAAAAUAUGAGACCAUACUUCAAGUACACUUUACCUUUCAUCGACGUGCAUCCAAAAGAACGAGAAAUAUGGCACAAGGCAGGAUUGGAUGAGGAAUUAAACAUACUAACGUUAGCCAACGAGUUGGACUUGUUGUUGAAAGAGCUUGGAGCAGGAUUCAUCUCCCCUCGAACUUUAAAGUUUCUAUCCAUGGAUCCAAAUUUAAGACCGAGCUUCGUGGAACAAUAUAAAAGAAUUCCUCUUAUAAAGAAUAACGCUUUGACCGCGAUUUCUGUGAUACGACGGGACUCGUGGACUAAUCCAGCCAGUGGGUGCCUUGUGCUGGGCACGGAAUUUGGAGAAGUUCUUGUCCUGGAUCCUCGAACGUUCUGCGUGAUGGACAAACACUUGUUAAAAUGGCCACCAGUCACCUUCGCUUGUACUGGUUUAUGGACCGGUGAUGGUAGGAUUAUAAUUGUUGGAAGAGAUGGUAAAAUAGGUGCGAUAAGAAGAGGUAGUCCUGUAAAUCUUUGGGAAAAAUUAUCAGCUCCUGCUGUGUCCAUUUCAACCCUCAGUAACGAUGGGGUUGUGGUUGCUGCUAUGGAUGGCACUCUGGUUGGCUUCUCCAGAAAGGGAAUUAAACUCUGGCGCGUCCGUGUUCCGGGUGCUAUUUUGGAUUCGGUGAGCUUACCAGUGCCCCAAAGCGGACUCUCUUUGCUCGCUGUUAGUACUGCUGGGUAUGGUAUUCGUGUGUACGAUGGGAAACACCAUGUGGAUACUCUAAAGAUUAUGGAACCGGUGUCUGCGAUGAGGUACGGUCGUAUGGGUCAGGAAGAAAGGACCAUGGCGAUGGUCACCGUAGGUGGUGGUCUUUGCGUAAAGAUUUUAAAACGAACCGCCGAUUUCAGUGUUAAUAAUACAAUGUCUAGCUCGGUAUUAAACGAUGGGUCUAAAUUUUUAAUACCAAAAAAGACGAGACUGUUCAUGGAGCAGACGGUUCGUGAAAGAUCAGAAGCCAAGAAAAUUCAUUCCACUUUUCAACAAGGUCUUCUCCGAUUGCGAUUAACAGUAGCGAACAAAGCGUUUGAAUCCUUAAACGAGGGUCAGGAUAUGGGUCCUCGUCCAAUCACUAUGGAGGCGACUGUUUUAGGAUUGGGUCCGGAUUAUCAAAUUCGCAUCUUGUUGACGAAUAUAUCCGACGAAUUGUCUGAUACGGAUUUGUAUAUCGUUUGCAGAAGUGAAAAUACCGACGUGAGACCACGAGUAAUGGAUGUACCUCUGUUACCCAGUGGUACUCCUAUUCCUUUAGUCGUUCGUGCACUUUUGAAAGAUAUAAUAUCAGGGAGAGUUGAGAUUCUACUUUGUAAGAAAUCAAAGACGAAUCCUGUAGCAGUGACGACUGUGGUUUUGCCAGCUGCAGAAGAGGAUAUUGAAGUUUAGUAUGUUUGCUGUGAAUUCAGGGUUGUACAGUGAUAUCUUCUAUGUGUAAUUUUUCAAAUAUUUUUUAAUAUAAUAUAAUUGAUCACUUGACCAAUAAUUUUUAUGUUUCUGUAACAAUAUAAGAGGUAUAGGAAGGAUUGUUUAUAAGUUUCCUCUUUUUAUACAAAGCUUUCUUCUGAAAUGAUAACUACAAACUGUACAGUAAUCAUGACCAUUUAUUGAAUAUUAAAUGUUAAAUAUUAAAUGUUGAUAAAACGUGUUACAUAUUUAUGUCACAGUGUAUGUUGAAUAAUAUUCUAUUGAGAGAUAUUUAUUUAAAAUAUCGCGGUACCACUUACUUACAUUGAACUGCCGGUAAAAUCACCAUCCCUUGUAUCCACUCCACCCUUUCCUAUUUAUAUGCAGUCUACUACAUGACUACAGCUGAUCGAAGGAAACCCAUAUAUGUAAACUGUUCGGCUAAAUACGCAAACAUUGCGAACUAGUCGCGGUUAUUUUUUGCCUGUGCAAAAUGUACAGUUAACACAACAUGUAGAAAAUGAUAGACAAUUAAUGAGAAGUGAAUGGAGGCAUCAGAUCAAAAGGAGUUUUCAUUUUUUUGUGAUGUCAAAAAAAAUUAUCAUGCUUCCAAUAUGUUAUUUCGCAAGGCGAUAUCUUAUGAUCCUCCAGUUACACGUUUUUUUAAUAUUGCUUCUCUUUCCAGCCAGGGAAUGUACUAUGCCGGAAGCAAGCCAAGAAGGAUUAUUACAUUCAUUCAAAAGUUAUUCGGAUAUUGCAAUGUUUCAUUAUACGGUUCCAAAAGAGGUACUUAGAGCUACUUGGCAGUUUGCAGCAUUUAUGGAUAGG